GUAGCUCAUACUAAUUUAAAUAUUAGGUUUCUAUCCUAUCCAUGAUUAAAAGCUUUCUUGUAUUGGGUUUUGAUUUUGCAAAAACGUAUACCCUAAUGAUAUGAAACUCUAUGUUGUUCCCCUUUGCAAAUUUAAAUAUAAAAUAAAAUCAUAGAUAAAAAGAAAUUUUAAAAAAAUAAUAAUCGCUGCUUCUUGUUGCCCACACUAUAGCUUUGGAAUUUUCGUGCUCAACAAACAACAGUAGACCGGAGUGUACUCCCAAGUACGCUUGGGAAGAAAGCAAACAGGCCACUAUUUAUAUCACAACCCAUCCCCAUCCUUUUCCCACACACUCAUACACUAUACCCAUCACUCUCUCUCUCUCUCUCCCUCCCCCCUUUACAAUGAGCAGCGUCAUCAGCUGGUGCGGCAAGGGACCGAUGGUUUUGACAAUUUUUCGGGACACUGCUUUGACUUUAGCUUCUGCCUUGUAUGUGAAGGAGACAAUAAUGGAAAAGUUUGGCAACAAUGGAGGUUCUGGCUCGUCUGUUAGCAAGCGGGUUUUUGGAAAACGAACAGAGGCUAGCGGUAGUUAGAUGGCUAAAGAGUUGGUAUAUGCAGUAAAGUGCAAAUUAUUAUCAGUAGUGCAGACUUUAACUUCAAUCAGAUGUAAUUUCUUUGCUUUUUAGAUUCCCAGCCAAGUUGAGCAAUAAACAGUUUUUAUUA